rnacentral:rRNA from 1 species
CUGGCGGGCCCCGUUGGAGACCGAGGCGGUCCAGUUGUUUAAGAAGGGGAUCCCGAGGCCUGGACGAGCAGAAGGAAACCCUAGCCGCCGUCGUCUUCCUCUUCCUCUUCGUCGAAGCCAUCUUCUGGUCUGGUGCUGUUGGUAGCUAUGGCGCUGCGCACCGUUGCCGCGAAGCUGAAGGCCCCCGUCGCCUCUCUCAAGCAGGCUUGGGCGGUCUGCCGUCCUCAGGCCAAGGGUCCCAAGCUCUCUAAAGGUCUUGACUUGGAUCUUUCGGAUCCACACAUCCGCCGGGUUUUCGACGAGAACACAAAGCUAUUGAACAGGAAGCGGACGAGGGAGACUGCUGCCUUAAUUGUUUUCAUGACUGGCACGACAGGCGGUGCUCUCCUUGCCAUGCGUUAAUGAUCUAACGAGAAUCCCUACCUAUCGUUUAUCUGCCUAUCAAGCUAAAAGCUAGCUAUCUCCCUACCUAUCGUUUAGCUACCUAUGAAGGUAAUAGCUAUCUGUCUGCUGUCAUUUUGUAUUUAAGGGCACUCUAUAUCUGAGUAUUGUCUAUCUGUGGUGUCUGGGCAGAUGU